rnacentral:rRNA from 1 species
GUACACUCCUACGGGAGGCAGCAGUGGGGAAUAUUGCACAAUGGGCGCAAGCCUGAUGCAGCCAUGCCGCGUGUAUGAAGAAGGCCUUCGGGUUGUAAAGUACUUUCAGCGGCGAGGAAGGCGAUAAGGUUAAUAACCUUGUCGAUUGACGUUACCCGCAGAAGAAGCACCGGCUAACUCCGUGCCAGCAGCCGCGGUAAUACGUAGGGUGCAAGCGUUAAUCGGAAUUACUGGGCGUAAAGCGCACGCAGGCGGUCUGUUAAGUCGGAUGUGAAAUCCCCGGGCUCAACCUGGGAACUGCAUUCGAAACUGGCAGGCUAGAGUCUUGUAGAGGGGGGUAGAAUUCCAGGUGUAGCGGUGAAAUGCGUAGAGAUCUGGAGGAAUACCGGUGGCGAAGGCGGCCCCCUGGACAAAGACUGACGCUCAGGUGCGAAAGCGUGGGGAGCAAACAGGAUUAGAUACCCUUGUAGUCCC